GGUUAAGCGACUAAGCGUACACGGUGGAUGCCCUGGCAGUCAGAGGCGAUGAAGGACGUGCUAAUCUGCGAAAAGCGUCGGUAAGGUGAUAUGAACCGUUAUAACCGGCGAUGUCCGAAUGGGGAAACCCAGUGCAAUUCGUUGCACUAUCGUUAACUGAAUACAUAGGUUAACGAGGCGAACCGGGGGAACUGAAACAUCUAAGUACCCCGAGGAAAAGAAAUCAACCGAGAUUCCCCCAGUAGCGGCGAGCGAACGGGGAGCAGCCCAGAGUCUGAAUCAGCUUGUGUGUUAGUGGAACGGUCUGGAAAGUCCGACGGUACAGGGUGAUAGUCCCGUACACCAAAAUGCACAGGCUGUGAACUCGAAGAGUAGGGCGGGACACGUGGUAUCCUGUCUGAAUAUGGGGGGACCAUCCUCCAAGGCUAAAUACUCCUGACUGACCGAUAGUGAACCAGUACCGUGAGGGAAAGGCGAAAAGAACCCCGGCGAGGGGAGUGAAAAAGAACCUGAAACCGUGUACGUACAAGCAGUGGGAGCACCUUCGGGUGUGACUGCGUACCUUUUGUAUAAUGGGUCAGCGACUUAUAUUCUGUAGCAAGGUUAACCGUAUAGGGGAGCCGCAGGGAAACCGAGUCUUAACUGGGCGUUAAGUUGCAGGGUAUAGACCCGAAACCCGGUGAUCUAGCCAUGGGCAGGUUGAAGGUUGGGUAACACUAACUGGAGGACCGAACCGACUAAUGUUGAAAAAUUAGCGGAUGACUUGUGGCUGGGGGUGAAAGGCCAAUCAAACCGGGAGAUAGCUGGUUCUCCCCGAAAGCUAUUUAGGUAGCGCCUCGUGAAUUCAUCUUCGGGGGUAGAGCACUGUUUCGGCUAGGGGGUCAUCCCGACUUACCAACCCGAUGCAAACUACGAAUACCGAAGAAUGUUAUCACGGGAGACACACGGCGGGUGCUAACGUCCGUCGUGAAGAGGGAAACAACCCAGACCGCCAGCUAAGGUCCCAAAGUCAUGGUUAAGUGGGAAACGAUGUGGGAAGGCACAGACAGCCAGGAUGUUGGCUUAGAAGCAGCCAUCAUUUAAAGAAAGCGUAAUAGCUCACUGGUCGAGUCGGCCUGCGCGGAAGAUGUAACGGGGCUAAACCAUGCACCGAAGCUGCGGCAGCGACACUAUGUGUUGUUGGGUAGGGGAGCGUUCUGUAAGCCUGCGAAGGUGACCUGUGAGGGUUGCUGGAGGUAUCAGAAGUGCGAAUGCUGACAUAAGUAACGAUAAAGCGGGUGAAAAGCCCGCUCGCCGGAAGACCAAGGGUUCCUGUCCAACGUUAAUCGGGGCAGGGUGAGUCGACCCCUAAGGCGAGGCCGAAAGGCGUAGUCGAUGGGAAACAGGUUAAUAUUCCUGUACUUGGUGUUACUGCGAAGGGGGGACGGAGAAGGCUAUGUUAGCCGGGCGACGGUUGUCCCGGUUUAAGCAUGUAGGCUGAUUGUCCAGGCAAAUCCGGAUAAUCAAGGCUGAGGUGUGAUGACGAGGCACUACGGUGCUGAAGUAACAAAUGCCCUGCUUCCAGGAAAAGCCUCUAAGCAUCAGGUAACAUUAAAUCGUACCCCAAACCGACACAGGUGGUCAGGUAGAGAAUACCAAGGCGCUUGAGAGAACUCGGGUGAAGGAACUAGGCAAAAUGGUGCCGUAACUUCGGGAGAAGGCACGCUGGUGUGUAGGUGAAGUCCCUGCGGAUGGAGCUGAGACCAGUCGAAGAUACCAGCUGGCUGCAACUGUUUAUUAAAAACACAGCACUGUGCAAACACGAAAGUGGACGUAUACGGUGUGACGCCUGCCCGGUGCCGGAAGGUUAAUUGAUGGGGUUAUCCGUAAGGAGAAGCUCUUGAUCGAAGCCCCGGUAAACGGCGGCCGUAACUAUAACGGUCCUAAGGUAGCGAAAUUCCUUGUCGGGUAAGUUCCGACCUGCACGAAUGGCGUAAUGAUGGCCAGGCUGUCUCCACCCGAGACUCAGUGAAAUUGAACUCGCUGUGAAGAUGCAGUGUACCCGCGGCAAGACGGAAAGACCCCGUGAACCUUUACUAUAGCUUGACACUGAACAUUGAGCCUUGAUGUGUAGGAUAGGUGGGAGGCUUUGAAGCGUGGACGCCAGUCUGCGUGGAGCCAACCUUGAAAUACCACCCUUUAAUGUUUGAUGUUCUAACGUUGGCCCCUGACCGGGGUUGCGGACAGUGUCUGGUGGGUAGUUUGACUGGGGCGGUCUCCUCCCAAAGCGUAACGGAGGAGCACGAAGGUUAGCUAAUCCUGGUCGGACAUCAGGAGGUUAGUGCAAUGGCAUAAGCUAGCUUGACUGCGAGCGUGACGGCGCGAGCAGGUGCGAAAGCAGGUCAUAGUGAUCCGGUGGUUCUGAAUGGAAGGGCCAUCGCUCAACGGAUAAAAGGUACUCCGGGGAUAACAGGCUGAUACCGCCCAAGAGUUCAUAUCGACGGCGGUGUUUGGCACCUCGAUGUCGGCUCAUCACAUCCUGGGGCUGAAGUAGGUCCCAAGGGUAUGGCUGUUCGCCAUUUAAAGUGGUACGCGAGCUGGGUUUAGAACGUCGUGAGACAGUUCGGUCCCUAUCUGCCGUGGGCGCUGGAGAAUUGAGGGGGGCUGCUCCUAGUACGAGAGGACCGGAGUGGACGCAUCACUGGUGUUCGGGUUGUCAUGCCAAUGGCACUGCCCGGUAGCUAAAUGCGGAAGAGAUAAGUGCUGAAAGCAUCUAAGCACGAAACUUGCCCCGAGAUGAGUUCUCCCUGAGACUUUAAGUCUCCUGAAGGAACGUUAAAGACGAUGACGUUGAUAGGCCGGGUGUGUAAGCGCAGCGAUGCGUUGAGCUAACCGGUACUAAUGAACCGUGAGGCUUAACCUU
rnacentral:rRNA from 1 species